UAGGGCUCCCUCUAGUGGUGAACAGCGGUACUGCACAUGUGCGGUUUAUGCACCAGGUGUCAGUUGACCGUUAAUAUGCUAAUGAGGUGAUUCAUUCUCCGCCAAUCCCUGGAGGACAAGUAGUGGGGUGAUCCAUGCCCCACCAAUCCCUGAGAGAUAAUUAGCAUACUGUUGUCUAUAUAAGCCGAGCGAUUUUGCUGCUCGGGGUCCCUGUUCAAGAGAGCUGUAACACUGAGAAGAGCUGUAACACUAAGAAGAGCUGUAACACAGUAAAGGCUUGUUCGCAGAAGAAUCCUGUUGCCACGCGUCGUUCUUACUGGCGGGACAUUAGGCGCGCGACAAGUGGUGCUGAGACCCGGGAACCAACAUCGCCGGUACCGAGGGGACCCUUCAGUGUGCUGAAGAGGAUUCAGAACUGCGAGAAGGUAAAUUAAAAGGUAAGCUUCGAGAGGCAUGCCCCUUUUUGGAAGAGAGCAUGUCAGAAACGGAGCAGAGUGAGAAAUUAGGAGCGCGAAAAAAGAAAAAGGUUACUAAAACAAAAGUGAAAGAGAUACAAAAGGCGGAAGAAACGCUGCCAGAGGAAAAAAUAGGUAUGCCCCGGAGGACAAAGUACAAGUCAUCCGGAGAGGAUACUUUGUAUCCAUUAAAAGAAUUAGAAGCCUUAGAACUGGCUGGCAGUGACUCUGAGCAAGAGUUGUCAGAGUGGGAGGAGGAGGAAUUAGAGGAAGAGGCAGACAUAUAUGAGGAAGAAAGAUAUGGGCCUAGGUGGAGAGCCACUGUGAAGAAACCUAAAGUUAUGGAUCCUUUCUGGGCAAGGCUGGUAAUUUUGUUUCUUUUUUUCUUUGUGUGGGAUAGAGAAGCCACAGAUGGCAAGCUUAAGCCCAGACCAAAACCUCUUUGGCAAAUGGUCCCUGCCUGCUUAGAGGAUAAACGAUGUGAGGAAGCCCUUAGAGCUGUUAGAACAGGUCAGAGGGUCCUUGGAGAGCAACAAGAAAGUAUGUCAGAGGGAGAAAAGGUCUCGAAAGAAAAAAAAAAAGAAAAGGAGAUAAAAGGAACAGAGAGAAGGCAGAGAUAAAAAAUGAGGUCAGUGCAGCUUUUGUUGUGGCUCAAGUUGAGGCUAUUGCUAGGUAUGUGAUUAGGCUCUGGAAACCUCACAGAGUCAUACUGAUCAGAUUUGAUAGAGGUAGACCGCCUGAAAAUUUAUUCAGGAGAAUCAAACAAAAAGAUAAACUUGAGUGUGCCUACUUGGAUUCCUGAUCUCAAGGAGAUUUAGCAAGUGACAAGGUGCUUCUCUUAAAAAAGCAGUUUCAAUUGGCCCUUGGAGCCUUGCACCUAUAGCUAAGAUAUGUGUAGCCACUUCAAUUUUGUUUUCUGACUGGUUUUAAAUGUAUAAAUAUUCUCUACAUGCCUUGGUUAUGGACUAUUGGCUUUUAAGUUAUUGGAUAUGGUUUAAAAAAAUGUAACAUUGAUAACAGAAAGUUGACAUAAAACUGGUAAAUUUGGAUGGAGUCAUGAGCCAAUCUAGGGAAACAGGUCUAAAUUGGGAUGCCUUUGCUACAAUUUUUUACUGAACAUCCAGUGAUUUUUCCAAAGGUCACUGCCUCAGAGCCUUUGUCUGGAGCGUUAAAUAUUUAUACAGAUGGCUCCAAAACAGGUGUAGGUGCCUAUAUGGUUGAUUCUCAAGAACCAGUAUUAAUUCAAUACAGUCCAGGCACCCCCUAAAUUACAGAAUAUAAAAUUGUAUUGAAAGUUUUCAAAAGAUUUCAUGAUUAUUUUAAUUUAAUUUCUGACUCUGCUUAUGUAGUUAAUGCUGUGCGCUCACUUGAAAUUGCAGGGCCAAUUCGGUCGAGUAGUACCGUAUGUCAAAUUCUUUUAGAAUUACAAAAUUUGAUUUGGGCCAGAAAAAAUAAAAUUUUUAUACAACAUAUUCGAGCCCAUACUAAUUUGCCUGGUCCCAUGACCAGUAAUAACACCCUGGUGGAUGCUAGUACUAGUAGAGAGUUUAUUUUUCAUGCCACUCCGGUUGAUCUCGCUAGAGGAUUUCAUCAAAAGUUUCAUGUACCUGCCUUUACUCUUCAACAAAAUUUAAAAUCUCUAGAGCUGCAGCUCGUCAUGUGGUGCUAAGUUGCCAGAAUUGUGUUUCACCACCCUCCUCAUGUGGGGAUUAACCCUCGUGGUCUGAUCCCGCUGAAACUUUGGCAGAUGGAUUUCACACACAUAUCUCAAUUUGGAAAUUUAAAAUAUGCUCAUGUUUCUGUUGAUACCUGUUCCGGUAUUAUACACGCUACUCUGAUGACUGGUGAAAAGGCUUGUAAUGCCAUAAGUCAUUGCUUAGAGGCAUGGGCAGCCUGGGGAAAGCCUGAUAGUCUCAAGAAAGACAAUGGGCCUGCCUACACUGCAAAGUUCUUUCAGGCAUUUUGCCAGACAAUACAGGUCGGUCAUACUACAGGCUUACCAUACAAUCCCCAAGGUCAAGGAAUUGUGGAAAGAGUACAUCGUACCUUAAAAGAGCUUAUACAAAAACAAAAAGAGGGAAUUGCCAGCAGCCGAACACCAAAAGAACAACUUUCUUUAGCUCUUUCUACUCUAAAUUUCUUAAUUCUGGAUGCACAUGGCCGCUCUGCUGCGGAUCACCAUGCUACUACUACACCUAUAACUAAUACAGAAGUAAAGUGGAAAGAUGUCUUAACUGAUGAAUGGCGUGGCCCAGAUCCCGUGAUUUCGAGAUCUAGGGGAGCGAUUUGUGUUUUUCCGCAGAAUCAAGAAAAUCCAAUUUGGGUACCUGAGCGUUUGACUCAAAGAUUGUCUUCUGCUCUUCCUGAAGAUGAGACUAUGAACCCUACUAUUACUACUGGGAAUGAACAAAGAAAUCUCGAAUUAUCCGAAAGGAAACUGGUCCAUGAAAGCAGAGCAACUAUCAAGACAAUUGCUGAUGCAGAUUGCUGUCCUCAACAGCACUAGGCUGGACCCCAUCACAGUUGAAGACUUUACCUCAUGGAUUACCAAUGCUUUCUCCCUUUUCAAGGAGUGGGCGGGCAUGUUUGUCCCGGGGAGCUAUUGUCCUCCUGGGAUGCAGAGUAGGUCUCUGGCUUAUUGGCCGUUUAAAAAGAGAACAUGCCAGACACAAAGUGGUUGUUUACCAGGCUAUGACCACCAUUAAAAAGGGUACUUCUCCCAACAUAUGGCUGGCCUCUUUGAAAGAUCAAGAGUUCUCCCUAGAUCGUUUUUGUCACAGUCAUGUGGAGUCAUUGUAUCCAGGGACGGGCAACUUUCCUCGAACUCGGACCAACCUAAGACAUGGGGCCCGGUGGCGAUAGGGUGACCCAGCGACGGGUAAGGCCGAGUCAUCGUAAGGAACGACCUAAGACAGGAGCAAUGACAAGAUUGACGCGACACCCAGAUCUAGACCAGUCAUUUUAUUAAACAAAAAAGGGGGAGAUGUAGAGAGCGGCACGGCGAAACAAAGAUGGCACCUUACUGCGCAUGUGCAGGCAGUAACAUCCCCAGAGGAAAGGUUAAGGGCUGUAGUCACAGAGAGAAGGAGAAACAGAGAUGAGAUGCUCAUAUGACCUAACAAAGACGCUCAUGAACACUGGGGAGUUGCACUCUGCCCAUCACUGUACUCGAGGUCCGAAAAGGAUGUGUUCUUAUUAAAGCAAAAGAGAAUAAUAAAAACAAACACAA